CAGGGGAAAAAUCUGUGAUUGACCUGGCUGAGACCUUCGCCCCAUACGCUUCUGGGCAUCCCGAGAGAUCCAAGACUCUGGGGUCCAUCCGGGGAGUGGCUGUGGAGCAGCUAAGAGGGGAAGUGGGCAUUAGACAUGUCCUCUCUGGAAAGAAAAAGGUGAACACCCAGGAGAAGAGCUAGCAGGGAGAAGGAGGAGCGGGCCAAUCACGAAGGAGAAAGUCCUAGAUGGAGCCUUCUCAUCCUCAGAAACCACACUGGUUAAAUCAGUGGAUCUUAACUUUGGCUGCAUAUCGGCAUCACCACAGGAAGUUUCAAAAAUUCCAGUGCCUGAGUCCCACCACAGGGAUU
ensembl:lncRNA novel transcript